GAGGCUGCUAUAUAUCUUGCAAUGCACAGUACAGCCCCCACAACAAAGAAUUAUCCAGCCCCAUAUCUCAGGAGUGCUGAGGCUGAGAAACCCUGCCUUACAGUGAUAAUGUGAUUUAAUAAAUGUUCUUCCUCCCCAGUAAAAUGAGACCAUAACCACCAUGAGGAAUAACUGAGACAAUAUACAUAAAAACCUCUGGUGCACAGUGAACACUCAGUCCUAAUUAGAUAAUCUGAUUACGCACUUCUUAAGAGUAGGAACCUCCUCAGUUAGCUCUGCAUUAUUCCCAUACAAAGCACAGGGCUUUUUUCAUGGGCACUCAACAAAUGUGAAAGAAUGUAUUCUUUAUGUUAGAAAUUCUUGAUUAAAAAACAAACGCCACUAUUAUCUAUAAAACACACCAUUCUCCCAUACUCACUCCUUGCCAAACAAUAAGUGAAUAGUAUAAUACAUGAUUCAUUGCAGCAGGCUAUGAAAAGCUACAGUGCAUCCAGGAUAAUGUUAUAGAAUCACCUCCAUAAAUAAACUAUUAAUAAACUUGCUAUUGAAAUGUUUUAUCUUAUUUUAACAGAAGGUUAAUGAAGAGAUCGUGAUAUACAGAUUUGAGAAAAUCUCCACCCAACAGGCCAAGAUUUUGCUAUAUAAGUAUCUCCAAUACCUCGAUCAUGACUGGGACAUCAGAGAUAUUCAAUAAAUAUUAUCUGGAUGGAGCAAGUCCUCACAUCACCACUUCUUCCACCGACAGCCACAAUGCGGUAAGGUCUGUGACAUUUGCAGCGAGGAUUUCUGAGAUCAUAUCAAUAAAAUAUCUCUACCCAUUUUACAGAAGAGCAAAGAGAGGCCCAGACAGGCUCUAUAUACUUAUGCAGUUAUAGAUUUCUCCAGCAAGAUAGUUUAGGUGAUUUAUCUGAGGUCUUAUCCUAGUUAGUGGCAGAGUUAAAUGAAGACCUAUGUCUUUUGACUUCUAGUUUUUCCUUCUGUUUGAUUUCACCCUUUAGUAAACCGAUGGAAUCACCCAUUGCCUUUCAAAAAGUGGACCUGGAAAGGAAGGAAACAGGGACAGUAGGUAGGAUGGGCAGGCCCUGCUGUUCUUUUGCAAAAUCUAGGUAGUUGGGUUAAGAAAUCGAUUUCAUUCAUUUCCAGAAAUGAUGUAAGAAGAUUUAGUGCACAUGGCCAGUUUGACAGUCCAUUUAGUAGGUCACAUGCAUAUAUAUCAGCAUAAAAGAUAAAUAAUAUUUUCAAAAUAUAUUUUUCUCGGUUCACAGACUUAGCAUAUUCAUACUCACAGUUAGCUCAGUUCAAAAUUAUUUCCUUACAGAUGAAAACAAAUAAUUCUACAUAAAUUGAUUAUUGUCUACUAGCUUACAUUGCAUAAAUAAGUAUAUACAACUAAGAAUAUAAAACUAAAAAGAGAACAAUCCAAGGACUUCUUGUAACACUGACUUGAAUAUUUUUUCUGAUUUUGGUGCAUAGCACAGCUAUUUUAAUCCUUUGUCAGCUGCUGGGAUUCACUGGCCAGCCCUUCUCAUGCUUCUUGACCUGAAAUUCCCAAGUCACGACUACAAACCUGCUUGUGCACACAAGGAAUGCACAAGCCCCAACUGUGUGUUCAGAGACUGUUUUCUAACACAUUCAGAGUCAGAGAAAGGCACACCAACUCCAUAAGGCAAGUUAAGAAAACUCUUCAGGGUACUAAGCCACAAGACAGAUAUUGGAGAAGGAUAGCUCUCUCCAUCACCUCCUGUAAUUUUUCUCAGCUCUUCUAAAAAAGUCUUUUAAGAAGCAUACAUGCAGGCCGGACA
rnacentral:lncRNA from 10 species